rnacentral:lncRNA from 2 species
ACACUCAGGGAGUACACCAUGUGAAGACUGGACUUAAACAGCUACACCACCAGAAGCCGAGAGAGAGGCUGGAACAUAGCCUUCCCUUUGGAGGUAGCCUGGCCCGGUGGGCACUGUGAUCUCAGACUUCCAGCCUUCAGAACUACAAGCAAAGUGGAUCAGCAAAGGCUGCAGUCACCAGCAUCUUUUCCAACCUUAAUGAACUGUAUCCUCAAAAGAACACUAUCAGACUGGUAAGACAAGCAUUAUUGUCCCACUUCACAGAUGAAGAGCUUGGGGGCCCUGUGGAUGUGUAGGAGAGUCGGCCUUCCUUUUUAUAGGCC